rnacentral:rRNA from 1 species
ACUAUUGAGAGUUUGAUCCUGGCUCAGGAUGAACGCUGGCGGCAUGCCUAAUACAUGCAAGUCAAACGGGUGUAGCAAUA